rnacentral:lncRNA from 1 species
GGCCUCCCGAAGUGCUAAGAUUCCAGGUAUGAGCCACGGCGACUGGCCCACCUGUCUAAUUUUUAAAUUUUUUUAAGACGCUGGGUCUCACUAUGUUGUUCAGGCUGGUCUUUAACUCCUAGGCUCAAGCGAUCCUCCCACCUUGGCCUCACAAAGUGCUGGGAUUACAGGUACGAGCCCCUGCACCUGGCCACAACCUAUUAAUAGUAAUAAUAAUAAUAACAACAUGUCCCCCUGUCCUUCUCUGGCCUCACUGAGUAGUCCCAGGCUUUCCCCACAUGCCUCUCAGGACUUAGUUUCCCCAUCUCGAUGCUCUCUCAGUCCCCUCUCUUGCUGGGUGUCCCAGUGGCCAGGAUGGUGGGUGGCACCGCUAUCUUCCCGGCCUAUUUGCUCUCCCUCUUCCGGGGCUGCUACCCUGGCCAAGGCCCUUGAAUAAAAGGCAAGGGCACCUGUGUCCUGCUUCCUUCUCUCCUGCCUGGAUCAUGCUCUGGCUCUCUCUGCCCUGUUGCUCCUGGGAGCACUGGCUGCCCCAGCAGGAAGCUCUAAGACAUGUCCAGCCUGCUCUUUGCUGUGAACCUGCAUUGAAAUAACUUGUCCUUCUGCCCAGGACUUCUGCUUGUUUAGCCAGAUGCAGCUGGAAAAUGGGACUCUCAUUGAGAAGGGGUCAUGUGUGGCCCCUGGAGAAUGCUAAGAAGGUGUCUACGCCCUGACCUACAGCCCCCAUGCAAGCCUCUGGGUCAGCACAGCCUCUUGUGAAAACAACUGCAGCCACCUUCCCCAGUAAGGUUUGUUGGGAGGACCUCAGGCUCACACACCAGGGUAGGGUGUCAUGGGGACCCAGCCUCAAUUUCCUGCCUCACAGCUUUUUGUCUGGCUGAUUGGGGCAAGAAGGAGACUCUCAGUUUUCUCAUCUGGAAAAUGGGUGUGAUGUAGGUUUUAAAGGGUGUUCAUCCCCUAGGCUGGCACGUGGUAGACACUCCUUUUGUUGCCAUGUUUAUUUGAAUACUGGGAGGCUAAAGAGAACUCCAAGCUCUUUUCUGUUUCUCUGUCUCUCUCUCUCUCUCUCUCUCUUUUUGAGACAGAGUCUCACUCUGUUGCCCAGGCUGGAGUACAAUGGCGCAAUCUUGGCCUACUGCAACCUCCACCUCCUGGUUCAAACGAUUCUCGUGGCUCAGCCUCACGAGUAGCUGGGAUUACAGAUGUACACAACCACGUCCGGCUAAUUUUUGUAUUUUUAGUAGAGUCAGGGUUUCGCCAUGCUGGCCAGUCUGGUCUCAAACUCUUGACCUUCAGUGACCUGCCCGCCUGGGCCUCUCAAAGUGCUGGGAUUACAGGCAUGAAUCUCUGUGCCCCGCCUCUCUUUUUGUCUUUAAUAGAGGGGCUCCCCUUGAAGGCUAGUCAAACAGAACAAGAAACCUCACAAGUGGUGAUAGGCCCAGGUCUAGGGGAGCCCAGCCAGGAGCCCAGGAUGCAAAAAUGUUUAUUCUUUAUUUUUUAUUUUUAUUUUUUUU